rfam:Gorilla gorilla gorilla genomic chromosome, chr3, whole genome shotgun sequence
AAGACUAUACUUUCAGAGAUCACUUCUGUAGUUUAUUAUUAGAAAGUUUCUCUGAAUGUGUAGAACACUGGAAAAAAUGAUCUAAGACUACCGUGAAU